rnacentral:rRNA from 1 species
AUUGAACGCUGGCGGAAUGCUUUACACAUGCAAGUCGAACGGCAGCACGGACUUCGGUCUGGUGGCGAGUGGCGAACGGGUGAGUAAUGUAUCGGAACGUACCCUGACGUGGGGGAUAACGUAGCGAAAGUUACGCUAAUACCGCAUACGUCCUGAGGGAGAAAGCAGGGGAUCGUAAGACCUUGCGCGUUAGGAGCGGCCGAUGGCGGAUUAGCUAGUUGGUAGGGUAAAGGCCUACCAAGGCGACGAUCCGUAGCGGGGCUGAGAGGACGACCCGCCACACUGGAACUGAGACACGGUCCAGACUCCUACGGGAGGCAGCAGUGGGGAAUUUUGGACAAUGGGCGAAAGCCUGAUCCAGCCAUUCCGCGUGCAGGAUGAAGGCCCUCGGGUUGUAAACUGCUUUUGUACAGAACGAAAAGGUUUCUACUAAUACUAGGAGCUCAUGACGGUACUGUAAGAAUAAGCACCGGCUAACUACGUGCCAGCCGCCGCCGUAA